AAAGCCAAUUUUUCCUCAGAUGAAAGUGAAGAAUCAGAUGAUACUAAAAACAUUACUGAAAAGAAAGAUGAAACAAAUACAAGAAGUGAGGGGAUUUGUGAAAAAAGCAAUUUGAAAUCUGAUUCAGACUCUGAGGAAAUUAAGAAGCUGAAAUACAGAUCCCCACUGGUUACAUACAAUCUAAAUAUAAGUGGUGGAGAAUCUGCAGAAGAAACAAAAGAAAGCAACCACAGAAAGAGGAGGAAAGUGAGCAUGGAUGAUUCAGGACUGAAAGUUACUGAAAACAUUACUGAACAUGAAGAUGAUGAACAGUCAAAGACAAGAUCAGCAACAAAUGUAAAGGUAG
rnacentral:lncRNA from 1 species